rnacentral:rRNA from 1 species
GACGAACGCUGGCGGCGUGCCUAAUACAUGCAAGUUGAGCGAUGAAGAUUGGUGCUUGCACCAAUUUGAAGAGCAGCGAACGGGUGAGUAACGCGUGGGGAAUCUGCCUUUGAGCGGGGGACAACAUUUGGAAACGAAUGCUAAUACCGCAUAACAACUUUAAACAUAAGUUUUAAGUUUGAAAGAUGCAAUUGCAUCACUCAAAGAUGAUCCCGCGUUGUAUUAGCUAGUUGGUGAGGUAAAGGCUCACCAAGGCGAUGAUACAUAGCCGACCUGAGAGGGUGAUCGGCCACAUUGGGACUGAGACACGGCCCAAACUCCUACGGGAGGCAGCAGUAGGGAAUCUUCGGCAAUGGACGAAAGUCUGACCGAGCAACGGCGCGUGAGUGAAGAAGGGUUUCGGAUCGUAAAACUCUGUUGGUAGAGAAGAACGUUGGUGAGAGUGGAAAGCUCAUCAAGUGACGGUAACUACCCAGAAAGGGACGGCUAACUACGUG